rnacentral:lncRNA from 1 species
GAUCUCAAGCGAAACGGUACAUAAAAUAUUGCGACUUUUGCAAAAAUACCGUUUUCCCUACACCGACCUCUCCUCGAUCAACGCGCAAUCUCCGCAGAUCCGUCCGUCAGAUUUGCGAACGGAUUGCACCAGUGCAAUCAGCACCUCGGAGACAACAAAGCUACACUUCGUUUCGUCUCGAUCGACCACGGAUUCACGACAAAAUCCAACCUUCUUCCAAUAGAAGGAAUAACACACACAAAUACAUAUAAAACAUGUAUUUUUGGAUUUUCUCGAAAUCCGUGCGUCAAACUCAAAAUCCGUCAGUGCCACUAGUUCCAGAACAGCUGAACCGGUCGAAACGAGCUAUUGGACUGAUAUGAACGGAGUCCGAUACGCACCAGAAGCCAACGCUACUCCGUGGCUUCUCCGGAAAACCGGAGUUACUAUUCACUUAAGUGAAAACUAAAAGUCGCGUAUCUUCUCCAUUUUAGCUCAUUUUCGCCCGAAACUUGACGAGUGCUUAAAUAAUUAAAUUACACACAUAAACAUCAUCAACAGA